GGGCGUGUAGCUCAGUGGUAGAGCGUUACACUGAUAAUGUAAAGGUCCCAGGUUCAAUCCCUGGCACGCCCA
rnacentral:tRNA from 1 species